rnacentral:misc_RNA from 1 species
UUUCCGUAGGUGAACCUGCGGAAGGAUCAUUAAUGAGUUGUCAUGGGGUUCGAUGCUGGCAGCCAGUUUUUGGAUGCAUGUGCUUGCCCUAACAAUCAUCUUCUUCCAAACACCUGUGCACAUUUUUGAGGGAGUCUUGAGUUGGUUGCCGCUCUUGGGUGAUUUUCUCACAUUCCCUUAAAUCAUUAUACGCUAUUAACAAUGUUGAACGUGCUCUGUGCCGCAAGGCCAUUAAUAUAAUACAACUUUUAACAACGGAGCUCGUGGCUCUCGCAUCGAGGAAGAACGCAGC